UGGGGAAUAUUGGACAAUGGGCGAAAGCCUGAUCCAGCCAUGCCGCGUGUGUGAAGAAGGUCUUCGGAUUGUAAAGCACUUUAAGUUGGGAGGAAGGGCAUUAACCUAAUACGUUAGUGUUUUGACGUUACCGACAGAAUAAGCACCGGCUAACUCUGUGCCAGCAGCCGCGGUAAUACAGAGGGUGCAAGCGUUAAUCGGAAUUACUGGGCGUAAAGCGCGCGUAGGUGGUCUGUUAAGUUGGAUGUGAAAGCCCCGGGCUCAACCUGGGAACUGCAUUCAAAACUGACUGACUAGAGUAUGGUAGAGGGUGGUGGAAUUUCCUGUGUAGCGGUGAAAUGCGUAGAUAUAGGAAGGAACACCAGUGGCGAAGGCGACCACCUGGACUAAUACUGACACUGAGGUGCGAAAGCGUGGGGAGCAAACA
rnacentral:rRNA from 1 species